ACAGAGACUGCAAGCGUUAUUCGGAUUCACUGGGCGUAAAGCGUGCGCAGGCGGUUUUGUAAGCCAGAUGUGAAAUCCCCGGGCUUAACCUGGGAACGGCAUUUGGGACUGCAAGGCUUGAGUUUGGCAGAGGAGACUGGAAUUCCUGGUGUAGCAGUGAAAUGCGUAGAUAUCAGGAGGAAUACCGAUGGCGAAGGCAGGUCUCUGGGCUGAAACUGACGCUCAUGCACGAAAGCGUGGGGAGCAAACAGGA
rnacentral:rRNA from 1 species